UAGUGAUUUUCCGUAUGUCUUAAGAGCACAGAUUCUUGACUGGCUAUCCCACAGUCCAACUGAGAUUGAGAGCUUCAUUAGGCCUGGUUGUAUUGUCUUAACAGUAUAUCUGCGGCUUCCUGAGUCUGCAUGGGAGGAGCUUUGUUGUGAUCUGAGCUCCAGUUUGAGUAGGCUUUUGGAUGUCCCUGGCGAUAGUUUCUGGAGAAAAGGAUGGAUUCACAUAAG